rnacentral:lncRNA from 10 species
AAAGAAAAGAAAGAAACCUGUGGCUGCUUUCAUCCUUGCUUGAGCAGAAGGAGAAGCAAGAAGCUACCAUUGACAUGGCUUCCUUGAGCAGGGAGCUUGCUCUUGAGAGAAGUGACUUCAGCUGAGGCAUUUCCCGCAGUGUGGACUGAAAGCUGAGGGUUAUUUGCUGGCAGUACUCCCAGAACUUGACUGGACUCAAACAUCUGGCCUCAAGUGAUCCUCCUGCUUUGGCCUCCUAAAGUGUUGAGAUUACAGACAUGAAUCACCGCACUCAGCCUGAGACAUACUUCUUUAAUUCCUGUAACAUUAUUUUAUGCUUUGAUACCUGAUGGAUAAUGCAGGGCCAAGCUGCACCAUGUUCCUAAGAGAAAGCCAAGAACAUAAGUCACACAAGCCCUCAGGAAGAGAAGGAAAGAAUGAGUGACAGUAGACCGCAGAUGUGAGCAAAUUCAUGGAGGAUGGAAACUGAAUGAGGGAAUGGUGGCUGGCUUAACUUAACAGAGGAAAGUGCAUUCUAAAUACCUAUCAUAAAAGCAACAAAGAGAAUAAGCCUAUCCACUCCACACUUUGGAACUGCCUGUUUAAAAGUUGAUCCCCGGACCCCACCAAGUCUACAAGCUCCACCUCAAGGACAGAAUGGAAACUGUAUUCAUCGAGGGGCUUUUAAUUGACAAAUAAAAAUUGUAUAUAUUUAUCCAUGUAUAAUAUGAAGGUUUGAAAUAUGUAUACACUGGGGAAUGGCUAAAUCAAGCUAACUAACAUCUGCAUUACCUCACAUACUUAUUUUUUGUGGUGAGAACACUUAAAAUCUACUCUCUUAGUAAUUUUCAAGAGUACAAUAUAUUGUUAUUAACUAUAGUCACAAUGUUGUCUAGCAGACCCUUCUCAGAAUCUAACAAAAUGUUUGGCUAGUAAUAGGGGCUCAAAAAGUAUUUGUGAGUGAAAAGAGUGAAUAUAUUAAUUAAUUUGUUAAUGUAUUCACUGGCAGGUGUAUUUACCUAAUUCAGUCUUUAAAAUAAUGUUCUAUAUUCCAAGUUUUCCUUAGGGAGUUAACCCAAUAUUAUAGCUUGAUUGUUUACACAAGACCCAUAAAACAAACUAUAAUAGCAAUAGUCAACAAAGAGAUGAUAUUGGCAUAAUAUAAUGCUAUAUUGGUUUUAUUGUGCUGCCAUAACAAAUUACCAAAAAUUUAGUAUCUUAAAAC